rnacentral:rRNA from 1 species
AUCGAACGCUGGCGGCAGGCCUAACACAUGCAAGUCGAGCGGCGAUGCGGACGGGUGAGUAAUGCCUAGUAAUUUGCCCGGUGGUGGGGGACAACGUCGGGGAACGGGCGCUUAUAACGCAUAAUAUCAGAUGACUCUCGGUCGGUGUAGCGAGUUGGUGGGGUAAAGGCCUACCAAGGCGACGAUCCGUAACUGGUCUGAGAGGAUGAUCAGUCACACUGGAACUGAGACACGGUCCAGACUCCUACGGGAGGCAGCAGUGGGGAAUAUUGGGCAAUGGGCGAAAGCCUGAGCCAGCCAGGCCGCGUGUGUGAAGAAGGUUUUCGGAUUGUAAAGCACUUUAAGUUGGGAAGCGUUACCAACAGAGUAAGCACCGGCUAACUUCGUGCCAGCAGCCGCGGUAAUAC